GGAGACAAACAGUAACAGAGCAAGCGAGACAAACAGUAGCAGAGCAACAGACAAAGACAACAGGGAUGUUUUUCCAAGUGCAUUUUUGCUAUUGUUUUCUAUAUCAUGUAUUGGCAUGAGAAUGACAUUUUUCCAUUUGGGAAGAUAGUUAAAACCCUAGAAAUUAAAGAGAAAGAGGGACGAUUGAAAUUGAAAAGAAAUAAAC
rnacentral:lncRNA from 1 species